UAAGAAAGUCAAGCUUCUAGAGUUCUUUCUUUUCAUAGUUUCCCUUAUCUCUGAUACUCUGCCCUGAAGAUUCUAGCUACAUCAGCAGCCCAGAAUGCAGCUCUUUCCUUUUUCAUUUUGUUCUGUUUUAAACCAACUCCCCUGGUUGGAAAACAACGAUAGGUGGAAAUCCAGCAUCAUUUUGGAGCUCAUCUCAUACAUUUCCCUUAUUUCAAAGGCACAAUAUUCUGGCCAAAAAGCCACUUCCUGUCCUGAAAAACAAAUCCAGAAGUUAUUUUUCCGACUCUUCCAUUCUGGUAUUUCUUCAAUAUAAUACUACAGCACCCUUUAAAAUGCUCCUUUCUCCAGUUCUGGCAGAGAGCGAGGUGAGAAAAGCAGCGAGGCCAUCUCUCCCGGGGCCCUCCAGGCUCUCUGGCCUUGGGGCUGGCGGGUGAACUGGGGGGCCCGGGGACAGGUCGCUGUCUCUGACCUGCAGAGACCCAGUGUCGUCGCCGCGGCUGUCCACUGGCUGGGCCCAGGCCUUGAAGCAGCCACUAAGCUCUCCCCACUGGCCGAGGGCCCGAGAAGGCGGGUCUCCGUGGACGCGAGCUUGGCCACCCUUGGGCCUUGGAGCGCCACAGAUGCGGGCGGUGGGAUGACCGCUCGGUCCCAGUUGGACGGGACCUCACCUCCGGACAAUGGACAGAGGCUCUAACGGGCCCGGAAGGUGAGCGAAGCCCCAGUCCACUCUGGGUGUACCGGUUAACGGGCCCUAAGGCGGUUGGUCUUCGUUCGACCAGAUGCUGACAAUGGAAGAUAGAAAUGGAAGAAUUACGCACCGCAUUUGACCAAUAGGAAGACCACCCUUUGGGAAGAUUUUCCUGGCCGUUGAUAGAAGGCCUGUGUAUAUAAUAUGAAAAAACUGCUCUCAACUUACCCCCAAACCUUUCAAAAGAAAACUUCUGCAAAGUCUGGGCUUUCUAGAUGUAAAGAGGUUGCCAACAUACGAUAGAGUUAGAAAAUCACACGUCUUGUGGAUGCCUGUUUGGUUUAUUUAAAAAUCAUAGAAAAGAAAUGUCUUUGGAAAUGACUUUUUUGAAAUGGAAUUGUUAGACCACCUCUAGAAGAGACAUCAGGAGUGACCACGUCCAUGUCUGUUCAGUGGGUAAGAGGACAUGAAGUAGAAGACCUUGAGGUAGAAAAGAAGGUUCUGUGCCACACUGGUCAUAUUUAGAAGACAUUUACAUGUUAUAACCAUUUUGUGUGUGUGUGCUUUUAUUCCUCAGCUACUGUAUAGUUAACAAUGCUAAGUACUUUUUUGAAAUCUCUAGUCU
rnacentral:lncRNA from 1 species